CAACGUGGGUAACCUGCCUCAAAGAGGGGAAUAGCCUCCCGAAAGGGAGAUUAAUACCGCAUAAUAUGUUUUGAUCGCAUGAUCUUAACAUCAAAGGAAUUUUUCGAAAUUCCACUUUGAGAUGGACCCGCGGCGCAUUAGCUAGUUGGUGAGGUAAAGGCCCACCAAGGCAACGAUGCGUAGCCGACCUGAGAGGGUGAUCGGCCACAUUGGAACUGAGACACGGUCCAG
rnacentral:rRNA from 1 species